CCAUGCGGAGAGCCUCAUGCAAAGGCCAGGGCCCUUCCUCCUCCCUCGCCUCCUCCUCCAAUCUAUCUUCCUCCGCCACUUCUAUUUCUUCACCUUCUGGCGGCUGCUCCUCUACCUCCAUCUGCUCCUCCACAACCUCCUUCUCCGCCAGGCCUUCCUUCACCAUCACCUCAGCGCUCUCCCUCUCAGCCACGGCUGCUGAGACGGUGGCGCACUUUCCUGUCUUCACCUCCUCGGCCUCGGCCUCCGCCCCCGCCGUCAGCUCAGACGCGGAUCUCUCGGCGCCACAGAUUUCUAGGGCCUUCUCUCCACCCUGAACGCCCUUUUUCAGGCUGUGGUCGGCUGCCAUCACCACAGAAGCGGCUGCCAGGCCCUCGGCGGGAGGCUGGCCCUCUUCCUGCCCAGCUUUGAUCGCCACAUGACCGCGACCCCCAACAACUCGGAACUGGGGAGUACCGCCACGACCCGCGGGAUCCUGGGGUACGCCCCCCUCCUCUGAAGGCGGUGGAAACGGGAGCGCGACGGUCUCCGAGCCUCCCUCACCCGGCUCCGCCAUCACCUGUGUCGCCUCGCUUUGGGCGCGGAGCCUCAGGAUCUUUCGAAGAUGGUUUGGCUGCCUUGGAGAUUUGGAGAUCUGAUGCCACGAUGAGGACUCACACACGGGGGGCUCCCAGUGUGUUUUUCAUAUAUUUGCUUUGCUUUGUGUCAGCCUACAUCACCGACGAGAACCCAGAAGUCAUGAUUCCCUUCACCAAUGCCAACUACGACAGCCAUCCCAUGCUGUACUUCUCCAGGGCAGAAGUGGCGGAGCUGCAGCGCAGGGCUGCCAGCUCGCACGAGCACAUUGCAGCCCGCCUCACGGAGGCUGUGCACACGAUGCUGUCCAGCCCCUUGGAAUACCUCCCUCCCUGGGAUCCCAAGGACUACAGUGCUCGCUGGAAUGAAAUUUAUGGAAACAACUUGGGUGCCUUGGCAAUGUUCUGUGUGCUGUAUCCUGAGAACAUUGAAGCCCGAGACAUGGCCAAAGACUACAUGGAAAGGAUGGCAGCGCAGCCUAGUUGGUAGAUUUUUGUCUUGUUCUUCUUACUGUAGUAACUCUGCAUUAGAAAGAAACAAAUCCAUAUGAAAUCUCAGCGGCCAGAUCUUCAUAUACCUCUUUGUGUAUGUGUGUGUGGGGAGGUGUUAUUUGUUAUUUGUGUUGCCAGUCUUAUGAAUGGCCCUUAGUUUCAAAAGAUGUAGUAACUUCCAUGUUUAAAGUUAGAAGGAAAAUAUUUAGAUGCAGCUUAAUCUAAAGAAAAAAUAAUUCGCUGAAUUGAGUAAAGAGUAUCAUCAUGAUUGCUGAGAAUUCUUUCCUCCAUAUUCAACAUGCAUAUAUUACUAUCAUCUGGUGUUAGGUUUGAUUGACCCCAAGUGGUUAAAACUUUUUGCAGCAAGACAUUUCAAGUAAUUACAACUUACUUGCAUUUUAUGAUCGUAAGGAACUAAAUGUGAAUGGGAUGGGACUGACUGGCAAUUUAUAAACACAUCCCCUCCAAUAACCAGCAGAUUUCUGAGACCUGUAGGAAAACCAACAUUAUUGUGUAAUUGUGUGAGGAAUUCUAAUUACAUAAUAAUUUCGUUUCAGAAGUUUAAGAUUUGAGAACAAAUUCCUGUCUUUUUGAUUAGCUUAAAUUUAUUUUAUUAAUUUAUAAUUAAUGCUUCAUUUGCUUCCAAACAGAUAUGGGAUGAGUUGAUUAAACAAGGGAUUCUACAGAUGUUUUUACUCAUGCAAUUUUUAAAUACACAUUUAUGGUUCAGUUGCAAUAAAAGAAUUUACAGAUUGUAUGAAAUUUUUUUAAAAAAUUACGUAAGCUACCUCUUGUCAUAGGGCUAGAGAGAGCUCAUUUUAAAUACUUAGAAAAAAAUCAGUGAAUGCACCUAAUGCUAUGGUGAAUUACAUCUUAACAUAUCACGGGGUGAAGGAUGGUGGUUUGCAAGCUUUCCGAUAAAUUUCUGGAAUUUUGUAAUGAAAAGUAUUAUGCAAGAGUUGGCAUUAAAUCCAUAUCAGAGCUGAUAUUUUAGCCCUGUUGCUAAGUACAUGUAGUCAUUUUGAAGUUUAUAAUAUUAUAGGUUGAAAAGAAUUUUUUAUUUGAUUUAUUUCAAAGCUUAGCCAUGUAUGUAGUUGUUUCUGACUUUGACUGACAUUAACUGAUCUUAUUCUAUUCUUGGCACCAAGAAAGAAAAGAUGUAUGAAAACUUAUCUAAUAUUUGAAUUACCAGAUUACAUUAUCAAAUGCUACAGUAACUCCCUAAUUGAUUUGUUCAAUUAGUUUAAAAUGGCAACCAUAUUUACAUUAUUUAGAAAGAAACCUUUGUCACCUAGAAGGGUACUUUCUCUUUAAAGUCCUUUUUGUUUUAGAUAAGUGGAUUUUGGCAAAUUAAGAAAUUGAAGUAAAUGUUCCAGAGAUAGUUAGUGCCUGUAGAGAACCGUGUAUUUAAUCUCACAAGAAAGUAAUGGACUGUGAAAUACCAUUUUUGAUGGAGAUUGUUUAGCACAAUACAGUAACAUGAGAAUUGUACAAGACUAGUACAGUUUUCUCAUUAUAAUGUAAAAUAUUUGGGUAUAUAAAUACCAAUGAAUGAAUGCUGCCAUUAGGAUGAGACUCCUUCUAUGAAAAGAGAAAUAAAUAACUUAAAAG
rnacentral:sRNA from 1 species